rnacentral:rRNA from 1 species
UUUGCCUUUUAAUUGGAGGCUAGUAUGAACGGAUAAACGAGAAUAUGGCUGUCUCACUACCAGCAAUGAAAAUUAACCUUCAAGUGAAGAGGCUUGAAUUAUAUAAAAAGACGAAAAGACCCUAUGGAGCUUUACUUACAUAGAGAACGAGGCACAAUAAAAAAACUGCUAAACUCCUAAAUAGUUCAGUUGGGGCGACUGAGGAGCACUAUUAAAGCCCCCUCAACACACAAGAAAAUAAAUCUAUUAAAAAUCCACAAACGUGAAUAAAGAAUCAGCUACCCUAGGGAUAACAGGCUAAUCCUUCUCGAGAGCCCAAAUUGACAGAAGGGGUUGGCACCUCGAUGUUGGCUUAAGGUACCUCUAAAGUGCAGCAGCUUUAGUAGUAGGUUUGUUCAACCUUUAAAACCU